rnacentral:rRNA from 1 species
CCGGCCUACGGGGCGCAGCAGUGAGGAAUAUUGGUCAAUGGGCGGGAGCCUGAACCAGCCAAGCCGCGUGAGGGAAGAAGGUACAGCGUAUCGUAAACCUCUUUUGUCAGGGAACAAAGGCGGGGACUAGUCCCCGGAUGAGGGUACCUGAAGAAAAAGCAUCGGCUAACUCCGUGCCAGCAGCCGCGGUAAUACGGAGGAUGCGGGCGUUAUCCGGAUUUAUUUGGUUUAAAGGGUGCGCAGGCGGCCUGUUAAGUCAGCGGUAAAAGCCCGCGGCUCAACCCCGGCGGGCCGUUGAAACUGUG